rnacentral:rRNA from 1 species
GACGAACGCUGGCGGCGCGCCUAACACAUGCAAGUCGAACGAGCGAGAGGAAGCUUGCUUCCUUAAUCGAGUGGCGAACGGGUGAGUAACGCGUGAGGAACCUGCCUCAAAGAGGGGGACAACAGUUGGAAACGACUGCUAAUACCGCAUAAGCCCACAGCUCGGCAUCGAGCAGAGGGAAAAGGAGCGAUCCGCUUUGAGAUGGCCUCGCGUCCGAUUAGCUAGUUGGUGAGGUAACGGCCCACCAAGGCGACGAUCGGUAGCCGGACUGAGAGGUUGAACGGCCACAUUGGGACUGAGACACGGCCCAGACUCCUACGGGAGGCAGCAGUGGGGAAUAUUGCACAAUGGGGGAAACCCUGAUGCAGCGACGCCGCGUGGAGGAAGAAGGUCUUCGGAUUGUAAACUCCUGUUGUUGAGGAAGAUAAUGACGGUACUCAACAAGGAAGUGACGGCUAACUACGUGCCAGCAGCCGCGGUAAAACGUAGGUCACAAGCGUUGUCCGGAAUUACUGGGUGUAAAGGGAGCGCAGGCGGGAAGACAAGUUGGAAGUGAAAUCUAUGGGCUCAACCCAUAAACUGCUUUCAAAACUGUUUUUCUUGAGUAGUGCAGAGGUAGGCGGAAUUCCCGGUGUAGCGGUGGAAUGCGUAGAUAUCGGGAGGAACACCAGUGGCGAAGGCGGCCUACUGGGCACCAACUGACGCUGAGGCUCGAAAGCAUGGGUAGCGAACAGG